GAUGAAGAACGCAGUUAAAUGCGAUAAGUAAUGUGAAUUGCAGAAUUCAGUGAAUCAUCGAAUCUUUGAACGCACAUUGCGCCCGCCAGUAUUCUGGCGGGCAUGCCUGUUCGAGCGUCAUUUCAACCAUCAAGCCCUGCUUGCGUUGGGGUCCUGCGGCUGCCCGCAGGCCCUGAAAACCAGUGGCGGGCUCGCUAGUCACACCGAGCGCAGUAAUACAUCUCGCUUUGGGCGUGCGGCGGGUUCUUGCCGUUAAACACCCCCUUUUUACCAAGGUUGACCUCGGAUCAGGUAGGAAUACCCGCUGAACUUAAGCAUAUCAAUAAGCGGAGGA
rnacentral:misc_RNA from 1 species